rnacentral:rRNA from 1 species
GAUGAACGCUGGCGGCAGGCCUAACACAUGCAAGUCGAACGAGUGGCGGACGGGUGAGUAAUGUCUGGGAAACUGCCUGAUGGAGGGGGAUAACUACUGGAAACGGUAGCUAAUACCGCAUACCAUCGGAUGUGCCCAGAUGGGAUGAGCUAGUAGGUGGGGUAACGGCUCACCUAGGCGACGAUCCCUAGCUGGUCUGAGCGGAUGACCAGCCACACGGGAACUGAGACACGGUGAAGACUCCUACGGUAGGAAGCAGGGGGGCAUAGUGCACAAUGGGCGCAAGCGUGAUGCAGCCAUGCCGCGUGUCUGAAGAGGGCCUGCGGGUUGUAAAGUACUAUCAGCGGGGAGGCGUUAGCCGCAGAAGAAGCACCGGCUAACUCCGUGCCAGCAGCCGCGGUAAUUC